GUCAUAGUCGCCUAAUUGGAUAAGGCAACGACCUUCUAAGUCGUGCACUGUAGGUUCGAGUCCUAUCUAUGACG
rnacentral:tRNA from 1 species